rnacentral:rRNA from 1 species
GAUGAACGCUAGCUACAGGCUUAACACAUGCAAGUCGAGGGGUAACAAGAGGAAAGCUUGCUUUUCUUGUUGACGACCGGCGCACGGGUGAGUAACGCGUAUCCAACCUGCCUAUAACUAGGGAAUAACCUUGCGAAAGUAAGACUAAUACCCUAUGAUUUCCUUUGAUGACAUCAGAUUAGGAAUAAAGAUUUAUCGGUUAUAGAUGGGGAUGCGUCUGAUUAGCUUGUUGGCGGGGUAACGGCCCACCAAGGCAACGAUUAGUAGGGGUUCUGAGAUGAAGGUCCCCACAUUGGAACUGAGACACGGUCCAAACUCCUACGGGAGGCAGCAGUGAGGAAUAUUGGUCAAUGGGCGGAAGCCUGAACCAGCCAAGUAGCGUGCAAGAUGACGGCCCUAUGGGUUGUAAACUGCUUUUAUACAGGAAUAAAGUUAGCCACGUGUGGUUAUUUGUAGGUACUGUAUGAAUAAGGACCGGCUAAUUCCGUGCCAGCAGCCGCAGUAA